UUUCCGUAGGUGAACCUGCGGAAGGAUCAUUACUAAGUUUUGAAUGAAGUUGUUCUGGUCUUUCGGGGCAAGUGAACGCUUCUCUCAAUCCAUCUUACACCUGUGCACCUAUCGGGGAAGACUUGGAUCUAAGUUGGGUCACGACGGCGAUCUACAGUCUCCUCUUUAUACCAAAUAACAGUUUUAGAAAGUCUUUUUUGCUUGAUGCAAACUUAAAUAAAUACAACUUUCAGCAACGGAUCUCUUGGCUCUC
rnacentral:misc_RNA from 1 species